CCAAACCACCUCCUCCUCAUACCUCUGCUCUCUCACUCCUCUGCUCUGUCCAUUGUUAUUCUUCUAACUCCUCUUCUCUGUCUAUUGUUAUUUUGCUGUGUAUUCUUUUUCUCAUCUUACGCUUCUUGUAUUGAUAUAAUUUAUUUCAGUCGUUGAGAAUAUAUUAGGUAUUUCUAAAUUUUGUUCUCUAGGUGUUUGACAAAAUUAUUCAAUGAAUCAGGUUGUAUUAGAUUUCUUAUGCACACUCCUACCUUUUUCUCUGAUUUCAUUCUUUGAUUGCAUUUUCAGUAAGCGCUUUCGUGUAAGAAAGGAAUAAAUCAGUAUAUGACUAAUUCAAACACUUCAAAAUUGAUUUAAACAUGAAACUGAAAGGUUCAUAAACUACGAAAAAAGAAUUAUCUUUCAUUCUGGAUUUUUCAAGGAAACUUUGUUGGAAUCUACAAGUUAUGUCCAUAGAAUAGGAGAAAGAAUAUAAUGUUUUGGAUAUUAGGGAAUAGAGCCAGUUUUAGUAAACUUUAUUGCAUUAAGUGGUUUACUUAGUUUUAUAAAGUUUUCUUUCAUGUUUUGGACAUUGAACGUGGUGAUCAUUUUGCAGCUGAUAAAUUUUAAUUCUUGCUUCUGUCUACUCCGAGUUGAUUUUGUCAUGAACUAAUGUGGUGGUUUACAGAGCUGCUGCAGUUUCAAGAGAGAAGGGAGGGGCAUGUCUUCAACUGAAACUGUCGUACAAUGGAUUAGUUCUUGUGCUGCUGCUUUUACUCCGUUGGAUAGAUAGUUCUUGCACAUGCUUGCUCCCUGGUUAUCUAAAUCUCUUUCAGAUGGUGAAUUCAACCCAUGCAUUAUGGUCUUGCCACCUUAAUCAGGGCAUUUACUAUGAAAACAGUCAUGGUGAUCAAAUAUACAUUGUAGGACAACCUCAAUCUUCCUCUGUACAACAACCUCAAAGGUGAUUGCGGACAAAUAAAUCUUUAAUAGAAUUAUUCAACAAAGUGAAAAGAUGGUGAAUUCAACCCAUGCAUUAUGGUCUUGCCACCUUAAUCAGGACAUUUACUAUGAAAACAGUCAUGGUGAUCAAAUAUACAUUGUAGGACAACCUCAAUCUUGCUCUGUACAACAACCUCAAAGGGUGUCCAAAGUUGCUACAAUCUUCUCCAAAAGCUAGAUAGUAACUGGGACAACAAGUGGUCUUAGAAGAUAACACGAAGGACAAAAACAACACACCAAAAUGCCCUGCUUUGUGUGAAAUGCUGUCGAGGCAGCAUGUCUCAGCCAAGAUAAUUGGCAGAGAAGAGGACUUUCUAUUUGCAGCAGAUGUUACCUGUGUGAAAAAUGACGAAGGAAUCUAUCAGCCAUUUAAAUUUUUUUGGUGUUGACUUCAUGAUGCCACAGUAUAUCAAAUGAUUACUUUCAGAUUGGCAAGCACAAAGAAUUGAUAGAGCAUUCUUCUAUUGUAAAAUAAAAAUGUAUAUUUUCAAUCCUUCAUUAAAUUACCACAUGUAUCAACUGGUACAUGACAUUACAUGUGCAUUUACAAUGUCAGCUUGGUUGAAAGCAUUUAUUGUAGUCCGCAAAUGUUGUCUAUCUACUAUAAUAAAAGAGGUGAUCUGCCUAUUGUAAG